rnacentral:lncRNA from 1 species
CCUGUUUCUUUGCAUAUCUCAACUUUUUGUUUAAAAAUUGACAUUUUAGAUAAUAUAUUAUAAUAACUCUUGAUAUUAAACCCCUUCUGGGGCUACUCGUUAUUGUUUAUUUGUCUAGUAACUUGGGUGGACUAAUUCUGUGCAGUCUAUUUCUUCUGCACAGUACAGCUCUAAUGUCUCCUGUUCAGAUUUUUGUUUUACUUUUUUUUUUUUAAUUGUAAGCCUUGCUGACUAGCAGUUGUGCCUGAGUCAGCAUAGCUUAGUAGUCAGCCACUGAUUGGCCAGAGGUUAGGCUUAAGGUCUCUGAGCCAGUGUGUGGUUUGGAGACCGCCUUCACAGCUUAUGAAUUAGCCCCUCAAUCAGCCGGGAGUUUGUAGCUCCUAGCUCAUAAGUUCUCAUUCUAGUCAUUUCCAAGAAUAUGCUGACGCAGGCACGCGCCCUGUCUUGUAUGAGUAUGAUUUCGGCAGGGCCCUUUGGCUAUUUCUAUCACUGAACUCCCUUUUAGAUUUCAGGCUGAUCUGCCUAAAUAGUAUCACAUUCUGAUUGUUAGCUGAUUGGUCUAUUUUAUUAGGCCAUUCAUGUUUUGCUUUUAAUACCUGAGACUGGGUAACUUAUAAAGAAAAGAGGUUUAACUGGCUCAUGGUUCUGCAGGCUACACAAGCAUGGUGCCAGCAUCUGCUUGGCUUCUGGGGACGCCUCAGGGAGCUUUUAUUCAUGGCAGAAGGUGAAGCGGAGCAGUUAUGCCAUAUAGCCAGAGCAGUAGCAAGAAAGAGAGAGUGGGAGGUGCCACACACUUUUAAACAACCAGAUCUCACAUGAACUCACUCAUCACCAAGGGGAUGUUGCUAAGCCAUUCCUGAAGGAUGCAUUGCCGUGAUCUAAACACCGUCCACCAGGCCCCACCUCCAACAUUGUGGAUGACACUUCAACAUGAGAUUUGGUGGCGACAUGUAUCUAAACUAUAUUAUCUGUUGUUUUCAAAAGUGCCCUGGACCCUCCAAGCUCCGAUUCAAAUAACGUUAACCCCCUCAGGAAGGACCAGCAAUACUUGGCGUACCCUCCUCUCCCUGGGCAAAACCUUUUCAUUAUGGAGUGGAAGGUGGAGGCACCUGGGGACACUGAGUACUGCCAAUGGACUGCUGAACCAAAUGAAGAGCUUUUCUGCAACAUUCAUGUUGCAGAGGAGAUGGGAACUGCCACUCAGCUGCUGCCGCUCAGCUACUAAAUCUGAAAUAGUUAUUCAGCAAUACAAAAAUGGGAAUGGGGGGUUCUGGAGCAUCCCCUGUGGCUCAAAUGCCGGAACUUUCUGCUAUACCUACUGAGUUUCAGUAGGUUUUAUUGAAUAAAAGUUUCUCAAUUCUUUGUAAGCCCUCUGAU